rnacentral:rRNA from 1 species
GACGAACCGUGCGAACGUUAUUCGGAAUCACUGGGCUUAAAGGGUGCGUAGGCGGGCCACCAAGUCAGGGGUGAAAUCCCACGGCUCAACCGUGGAAGUGCCUCUGAUACUUGUGGCCUCGAGGGGUGCAGGGGCGUGCGGAACUCAGGGUGGAGCGGUGAAAUGCGUAGAUAUCCUGAGGAACGCCCGGUGGCGAAAAGCG